GUCUCGUGGUGUAUAACAUAUUAGAGUGCAAAUCUGAGGAUGUAGGCUAAUUGCCUGCCGGGGCUU
rnacentral:tRNA from 1 species